rnacentral:rRNA from 1 species
GACGGAGGAUGCAAGCGUUAUCCGGAAUGAUUGGGCGUAAAGAGCGUGUAGGCGGCCAAGCAGGUCCGUUGUGAAAACUGGAGGCUUAACCUCCAGACGUCGACGGAAACCGCGUGGCUAGAGUCCGGAAGAGGAGAGUGGAAUUCCUGGUGUAGCGGUGAAAUGCGCAGAUAUCAGGAAGAACACCAAUGGCGAAGGCAGCUCUCUGGGACGGUACUGACGCUGAGACGCGAAAGCGUGGGGAGCGAACAGG